rnacentral:rRNA from 1 species
UACGUAGGUGGCAAGCGUCGUCCGGAUUUACUGGGCGUACAGAGCGCGCAGGCGGUCGUUCAAGUCGCGUGUGAAAGCCCCCGGCUCAACUGGGGAGGGUCACGCGAUACUGAUCGACUCGAAGGCAGGAGAGGGUAGUGGAAUUCCCGGUGUAGUGGUGAAAUGCGUAGAUAUCGGGAGGAACACCAGUGGCGAAGGCGACUACCUGGCCUGUUCUUGACGCUGAGGCGCGAAAGCUAGGGGAGCAAACGGG